GACGAACGCUGGCGGCGUGCUUAACACAUGCAAGUCGAGCGGUAAGGCCCUUUCGGGGGUACGACGAGCGGCGAACGGGUGAGUAACACGUGGGUGACCUGCCCUCAGCUCUGGGAUAAGCCUGGGAAACCGGGUCUAAUACCGGAUAUGACUCCAUGACGCAUGUUGUGGGGUGGAAAGCCUUGUGCGGCUGAGGAUGGGCCCGCGGCCUAUCAGCUUGUUGGUGGGGUGAUGGCCUACCAAGGCGACGACGGGUAGCCGGCCUGAGAGGGCGACCGGUCACACUGGGACUGAGACACGGCCCAGACUCCUACGGGAGGGCAGCAGUGGGGAAUCUUGCGCAAUGGGCGAAAGCCUGACGCAGCGACGCCGCGUGAGGGAUGACGGCCU
rnacentral:rRNA from 1 species